AACCUACCCAUCAGAGGGGGAUAACACUUGGAAACAGGUGCUAAUACCGCAUAACAGUUUAUGCCGCAUGGCAUAAGAGUGAAAGGCGCUUUCGGGUGUCGCUGAUGGAUGGACCCGCGGUGCAUUAGCUAGUUGGUGAGGUAACGGCUCACCAAGGCCACGAUGCAUAGCCGACCUGAGAGGGUGAUCGGCCACACUGGGACUGAGACACGGCCCAGACUCCUACGGGAGGCAGCAGUAGGGAAUCUUCGGCAAUGGACGAAAGUCUGACCGAGCAACGCCGCGUGAGUGAAGAAGGUUUUCGGAUCGUAAAACUCUGUUGUUAGAGAAGAACAAGGACGUUAGUAACUGAACGUCCCCUGACGGUAUCUAACCAGAAAGCCACGGCUAACUACGUGCCAGCAGCCGCGGUAAUACGUAGGUGGCAAGCGUUGUCCG
rnacentral:rRNA from 1 species